UUGCAGUCUCCACUAGAAGUAUAUCAAUCCUAUCAACAUGAAGGCACUGAUUCUAUCCUUGAUGGUGGUUGUGGUUGCGGCUGAGAGACCGUCCCUCUCUUACGACGCCCCUGCACCACACACAUCCUCGCCCGUCCAGCAGAUCCCCAUCAUCCGCGACGAGCGAGUCCAUCCUGCCGCUGACGGCACCUACAGCUUUGACGUGGAGACUGGGGAUGGCAUCGUCAGGCACGAGUCGGGUGGUCCAGGUGGCGCUCAGCAGGAACUGUGAGCUUCACCUUCCCAGAUGGCCAAGUCUUCGAUCUCCAGUUCGUCGCUGAUCUUAACGGUUACCAACCUCAGUCGUCCUUCCUGCCCGUCGCCCCUGUAUUCCCCCACCCAAUUCCCGCCCACGCCCUCGAGCAGAUCGAGCGUGGACGACUUGAACUCGAAGCUCGCGCCCGCGAAGAGCAGCGUCAGUCAUUAAGCCAAGGACAAGCUGCACCUGCUCGCCACUACGGCCAACCUCAGUAAUGUUUUCUACCUGAACUUCAACAUGUUCUUGUUACCUGUUAUCCUACUCCAUUUUUUCUGCCCCAUUAUAUAACGCUAUGUAACGUUAUAUGUUAUAAAUAAAUCUAAAUCAAACUUC
rnacentral:lncRNA from 1 species